rnacentral:lncRNA from 1 species
CUUGAAUAAGUAUUACUUAUUGAACAUAAUGCUAAAGUCCCAUGUUCCCAACAUUUCCAAUUUGAGAAUAUAAUCAUGUUUAUUUCCCAGUUUGCUUAUAAAUAACUUUAAAACAUGACAGCCCAAUAGGUUAAAGAAAAAAAAUUCUGCAGCUUUGUCCUGAAGACACAUUUAUUAUGGCACAGAAAGCAAAAUCAGCACUAUUUUUUUCAAAGAACAGAAAAAAAAUAUAUUUCAUAAGAACUUGUUAUUCUGGGGGAGGGGAGGGAGCUGCUUUAUCUUGGCCCCAUCCCCAGAAGUUACAGUCACCAAACUGGAUAUGAUUCUCAGUUAAAGCAAGCAGAGCCAUGAAUAGCGAAAGAAUAUAAUGAAACUACUGCUCAGUCUGGAAUGCCAUCUGAAGACCACGAGGUGACAAGCCUGGAUGACUAAACAGAAAGACAAAUGAGCCUGCAUUCCUGAUGGCACUGUGGAACCACUAUACCAGCUUCGGACAGUCUACCUCUAAUUUCUCAUUACUUGAGGAAAAUAAUCUCCCUUAUUUAUAUGACCCUUUUUUGGAUUUCUGUGGCCGCUGAACAUGAUUCCUAUUUGAUGAGAAAGUCAGAAGAAAGUUUAGGAAAAAGUUUGUUUAACCUAGAGAGGAGAGAGAGAUUCUUUAAAAGACAGAUAUAGAUGAUUGCAUUACUCCAUUUUCACGUUGCUGAUAAAGACAUACCAAAGACAGGGAAGAAAAAGAGAUUUAAUGGACCUACAGUUCCACAUGGCUGGGGCCUCACAAUCAUGGCAGAAGGCAAGGAGGAGCAAGUCACAUCUUACAUGGAUGGCAGCAGGCAAAGAGAAGAGAGCUUGUGAAGGAAAACUCCCCUUUUUAAAACCAUCAGAUCUUGUGUGACUUAUUCACUAUCAGGAGAACAGCACGGGAAAGACCUGUCCCCAUGCUAUGAUUCAAUUACCUCCCACUGGGUCCCUCCCACAACAUGUGGGAAUUUAAGAUGAGAUUUGGGUGGGGACAUAGCCAAACCAUGUCAAUGAUUACAGGAACUGCCAACAGAAAAAUUUAUAAUAAGUGAUACCAUAAACUAAAACAAAAGCAAACUUACAAAACUUAUUUGUAAAUUAAGUUAAAGGAUUAUAUCCAUAAUAAGGAUAUCAAAGAACACCAACAUAUUAGUAAGGGAAAAAAUCCAACAGGAAAAAAUGAGUAAAGAUAUGAAUAAGCAAUUCACAGAACUGAAAAUCAAAAUGCCCAACAAAUAUAUUGAAAGAUGGCUAGCCUCAUAACUAGUUAGGGAAAUGCACCAUAGGAAACAUUUUUUUAAAACUCAUUUUAUUGUAAAAGAAAAGCAUUCGGUGACAGUUUAUAGAGGAAAUAAUUACUCUCAGACAUUAAUGGUGACAAUAAGAAUUGUGUCAAUAUUUCUGAAAAAUAAUUUAGCAUUAAGUAUUCAAAUUAAAUUGGUAUAUACUAUGCACAAAGAUAUUAAUUACAAUAUUAUUCAUAAUAGAAUACUAGAGACCAUCCAUAUGUCCAAAAUGAACACAGUUAAGGUUUCAGAUAUCUACUGCUACAGAACAAACCAUCCCAAACUUAGUAUCUCAAAACAGUAUGUUAUUUUUCACAACUCUGUAGGCUGGCUAGCAGUUUCUCUGCUGUUUUCAUUCUCUGGUUCCUGUGCGUUCAGCUAAAGGGUCAGCUGGGCUACUAGGUCCUAGAUAACCCACUUUCACAUCUGCUGGUUGGUGCUUGCUGUUAGCUGGGGUAUCUUGGUUCUCCUGCAAGACACAUCUAGUGCUUCCAUACACUAGACCAGCUUCCUCACACUCAGCUGCAAGAAAGUAUUCCUUGAAGCCUCGUAAGGAGUUGGUUCCUGAACUCAUAGAUCACUUCCAUCAUAUUCGUUCGUCAAAGUAAGUCACGAGGCCAGCCAAGACUCAAGAAAGAGAUGGAGAAAUAGAUUCUACCUCUAGACAGAAAAAGCAAAGGCACACUGCAAAGAAGAAUGCCUACCAAAACAGGAGAAAUUUAUGACUGUUAAACAUUCUACCACUGGUAGGCAGGUACAGGUGUGUGUAUGUGUGUGUCUGAAUGUACACACAUACUCACAUGCACAAUGAAAUACUAUGUAAGUUGUUAAAAAGAAUGGAAAGGUUUUCUAGAUAAGUAAAAAAAAAGGUGUAGAAUAUUUAAUAUGGUAUGUUACCAUUUGUGUCUGGGGAAACUAUGUGUAUAUUCUAUCACAUAUAUGUAUGUUUGUAAAUUCUUGAAAUAGAUUUAAAAAUUAACUAUUAGAAUAUGUAAAGGUGUCUGCAAGCUAGCUGAAGAUGCAGGGCAGUGAGGUCAUGUUGGGAAGACUACCAGAAGUGCAGCCUAAUUAGCCUAGAGGCGAGGACAAUGGGUGUUGUGUGGAAACAGAGAGUUGCACAGAGUCAUAGGCCCAGUGAGGGGCUGUGGAUCCACAGAGGCAAAAGCCAGCAGGCCCCUCAGUUAAUGAUGCGUGUUAGUAGGGGUAGAUGAAGGUGGGAGAUGGUCUACAUGGCAGAGAGAAUGGUAGCCUACUGGGCAAAUAAGUAAAACAACUGGGGAAAUGAGAAAUAUAUCCAGGCUAAUGCAAAGCCUAGUUUCUUACUGCCAGAGAAGGCAUUCAUAAACAUUUAAAGGGAGAAAGCUAGGAAAAACCCUGGGGUGUUGGACUAGAAUUGGAACUACAGGAACAACUUUAUGAUUCUGUAAUAUGUACACACAGGUACAGAAAUAAUUACAUAUGUACAUGAGUGUGUGUUUUGCAUAUGUGUGUGUAUACAAACCAUAUACAAGUGUCCUAAUUCUGUCUUCUAUGACGGCUUGGAAGCAAUGACACUCCAGCAGCAAUGAGCACACUAAGCCCCCAUAUCUUUGUUUUUAAAUACCAUCUUUCACACACACAAAAAAGAAAACCAAACAACCCACAAAAAACAAAAAUAGGGCUCCUUGGAGAAAUGGCUGAUUCUAGGGCUCUAGCCCUGGAAUCUACUUUGUCUACUCUAGUAGACAAAGCACAAGAUGAACCAGGAACAGCUUGUUCUGCCAGAAAGCCCUAAGGAAAUGCACAAUCAAUGAGAUAGGGGCAUGAUAUAUGGGCAGAAGAGCCAGCUUGAAGAGGCUACCAUUGGCUAAAUCAGGAAUACCUUAAAAAGCAAAAUAAAUAACAAUAGCAACAAAUCAGAACACAUUUCACAAAAUCAAAAUCCAUGAGUCUUUACUGCUUUAAUUUUAAUAAAUAAGAGAGAAAGAGGUGAAACCCCAUCUCUACUAAAAAUACAAAAAUGAGACGGGAGUGGUGGCAGGUGCCUGUAAUCUCAGCUACUCGGGAGGCUGAGGCAGGAGAAUUGCUUGAACCUGGGAGGUGGAGGUGGCAGUGCGCCAAGAUCACACCACUGCAUUCCAGCCUGGGCAGCAGAGCAAGACUCUGUCUCAAAAAAAAAAAAGUAGUAGUACCUUAUGACAUAAUACCAACUAAUAUGUAUAGAAGAAAUAACAGAAAAA